AUUGAACGCUGGCGGCAGGCCUAACACAUGCAAGUCGAGCGGCUCGGCGGCCGGGUGCGUAUUACCAAUGUAUGUGCCUCGUCGUGAGGGAGAACGUACGGAAACGGGAGCGAAUACCGCAUACUAUCACAUUGGGAUAAGUCGGAUUAGCUAGUUGGUGGGGUAAAGGCCUACAUAGGCGACGAUCCGUAACUGGUCUGGGAGGAUGAUCAGUCACACUGGAACUGAGACACGGUCCAGAGUCCUACGGUAGGCAGCAGUGGGGAAUAUUGGACAAUGGGCGAAAGCCUGAUCCAUCCAUGCCGCUUGUGUGAAGAAGGUCUUCGGAUUGUAAAGCACUUUAAGUUGGGAGGCGUUACCGACAGAAGAAGCACCGGCUAACUCCGUGCCAGCAGCCGCGGUAAUUC
rnacentral:rRNA from 1 species